CUCCUACGGGAGGCAGCAGUGGGGGAUAUUGCACAAUGGGGGAAACCCUGAUGCAGCGACGCCGCGUGAGUGAAGAAGUAUUUCGGUAUGUAAAGCUCUAUCAGCAGGAAAGAUAAUGACGGUACCUGACUAAGAAGCACCGGCUAAAUACGUGCCAGCAGCCGCGGUAAUACGUAUGGUGCAAGCGUUAUCCGGAUUUACUGGGUG
rnacentral:rRNA from 1 species